AACGAACGCUGGCGGCAUGCCUAACACAUGCAAGUCGAACGAGACCUUCGGGUCUAGUGGCGCACGGGUGCGUAACGCGUGGGAACCUGCCCUUAGGUUCGGAAUAACUCCCCGCAAGGGGUGCUAAUACCGGAUAAUGUCUUCGGACCAAAGAUUUAUCGCCUUUGGAUGGGCCCGCGUUGGAUUAGCUAGUUGGUAGGGUAAAAGCCUACCAAGGCGACGAUCCAUAGCUGGUCUGAGAGGAUGAUCAGCCACACUGGGACUGAGACACGGCCCAGACUCCUACGGGAGGCAGCAGUGGGGAAUAUUGGACAAGGGGCGAAAGCGUGGUCCAGCAAUGCCGCGUGAGUGAUGAAGGCCUUAGGGUUGUAAAGCUCUUUUACCCGGGAUGAUAAUGACAGUACCGGGAGAAUAAGCUCCGGCUAACUCCGUG
rnacentral:rRNA from 1 species